rnacentral:lncRNA from 1 species
AUCCAUUUUUCCUCCCCAUCCUCUUUCUUCUCUUCAUCCUUUUCCUCCUCCAAACCCACUUAUCCCUCCACCCAUCCCUCCACUUUCUUUCUUUUCUUCUUAUCCAUUUCUCCUUCUCAUUUACUUUCUCUUCUGAGCCACUAUAAGCCAUAAUCCUUCACGGUGGCCCCUUCAACCUCCAUCCCUUCUCACCAGCAAUCCAUCCUUCUCUCUCCUCUUUCUCCCCACCUACUUUUUCUUAUCCUCC